AAGACUAUACUUUCAGGGAUCAUUUCUAUAGUUUGUUAUUAAACUGCUGGGAGAAUUUGGGUUAGGACUGAAAUCUUUUGCUUAUCCUACUUGAGCAAUCCCUAGA
rnacentral:snoRNA from 1 species